UACGGAGGGUGGCAAGCGUUAUCCGGAUUCACUGGGUUUAAAGGGAGCGCAGGCGGAUUGGUAAGUCAGUGGUGAAAGGCUUAAGCUUAACUUGGGAACUGCCAUUGAUACUAUCAGUCUUGAAUGUUGUUGAGGUUUGCGGAAUGGGUCAUGUAGCGGUGAAAUGCAUAGAUAUGACCCGGAACACCUAUUGCGAAGGCAGCAGGCUAAACAAAUAUUGACGCUGAGGCUCGAAAAGCGUGGGGGAUCAAACAGG
rnacentral:rRNA from 1 species